AGACACACUAGCUCUGUUUAUGCAUGCGAACAUCAGUACCACCUUCAGCUGGGUGCUUCUUAGUCAAUGAACAUCUUCCUUGAGACAGGGUGCACAAGACAUCUUUUGUUCAGUACGAAGCUAACUAUGUUACCUUCCUGGAGGACGCCUCCCCUGCUCCCCCUAAAGGCUGGAACACCAGUAGGUUGAACGGCUCCUGUCUUGCAGCCCAUUCUUUCUAAAGUUAUGUUCUAUCGUAUCCACUUCUCAGAUCCUGAAUUGUUUGUUUCUGUAACUACUUCCACUUAAAAGUGUCCCUCCCGGUUGCCACUGUAGCAAGCACAACCCUGCUUUAAGAACUUAUUCCCACUGUGGGGAGACACAUGCUAACUGCCCACGUGACUGAACUCCCAGGGAGCAGUUUGCUCUUUUAAGUAACAUUUGUGGGAGCAUAACUGCCUGUAAGAUACAAGAUCUCCAGUGUGAAGAAGCUGGAUGUUGGGGAUGCAAGCUCUACAUCGUUACAGCACAGCCAAUGGGGAAGCUUGAAACAACACAGAUGAGUCAAAACGGCAGGACGAAGAAAAUCAACUUUGCCGCAACAGCCAGAGUGUUCUUCACAGAUGAGUCCACGGUGCUCUUCGAAGACAAAACUUAGUGUUCUGAGGCCAUGGGGAAGGGCAGCCCAGGUAGCGCUAAAGCAUCAAGUUAGAAGCAGACGGGGUACACUGACACAGUACAACUCUACGAGGCAAGGGGCGGGAGUAGAAUGUGGGCUUCCCCAGGCAAGCAUGAGGAAGCCCUGCGAGCUCACACAGGGGCAAUGGCAACAUUCUGUCCACAUUUUAUAACAAACCCUAGUAGCCACCUGGCAGACAGACCAAAAUAAUCUGAUUAGAAACAGGAGGUCUGACUAUAUUAGUAUUUUAAGAAAAUGAUUUUAAAGGCAUAUAACAUGAAGUGGUGUGGGAACAAAAUGGAAGAAAAAAAUUAAAAAUGGUAUCUAGGAAGUAAAA
rnacentral:lncRNA from 1 species